rnacentral:rRNA from 1 species
CCUACGGGAGGCAGCAGUGGGGAAUCUUGCACAAUGGAGGAAACUCUGAUGCAGCGAUGCCGCGUGAGUGAAGAAGGCCUUUGGGUUGUAAAGCUCUUUUGUAGGGGAAGAUAAUGACUGUACCCUAAGAAUAAGGUCCGGCUAACUUCGUGCCAGCAGCCGCGGUAAUACGAAGGGACCUAGCGUAGUUCGGAAUUACUGGGCGUAAAGCGCGCGUAGGCCGUUGAGUUAGUUAAUUGUGAAAUCCCAAAGCUUAACUUUGGAACUGCAAUUAAAACUGCUCGACUAGAGUUUGAUAGAGGAAAGCGGAAUACAUAGUGUAGAGGUGAAAUUCGUAGAUAUUAUGUAGAACACCAGUUGCGAAGGCGGCUUUCUGGAUCAACACUGACGCUGAGGCGCGAAAGUAUGGGUAGCAAAGAGGAUUAGAUACCCUCGUAGUCCAUACCAUAAACGAUGAUUGCUAGAUGUUGGAAAUUUAUUUUCAGUAUCGCAGCUAACGCAUUAAGCAAUCCGCCUGGGGAGUACGACCGCAAGGUUAAAACUCAAAGGAAUUGAACGGCUGAGAGUGCGAGACGACACGAGGAGAG